rnacentral:rRNA from 1 species
GACGAACGCUGGCGGCGUGCUUAACACAUGCAAGUCGAACGGAAAGGCCCUGCUUUUGGGGGGUGCGCGGGUGGCGAACGGGUGAGUAACACGUGAGUAACCUGCCCUUGACUUUGGGAUAACUUCAGGACACUGGGGCUAAUACCGGAUAGGAGCUCCUGCUGCAGGGUGGGGGUGGGAAAGUUUCGGCGGUUGGGGGUGGACUCGCGGCUUAUUGGCUUGUUGGUGGGGUGGUGGCUGACCAAGGCCUUGACGGGUGGCCGGCCUGGUAGGGUGAGCGGCCACGUUGGGCCUGGGAUACGGCCCGGACCCCUCCGGGAGGCAGGGGUGGGGAAGAGUGCACAAUGGGCGGAGGCAAGAUGCAGCAAAGCCGCGUGCGGGAUGACGGCCUGCGGGUUGUAUACCGAUUUCGCCUGUGACGAAGCGUGAGUGACGGUAAUGGGUAAAGAAGCACCGGCUAACUACGUG